AUACGUAGGGUGCAAGCGUUAAUCGGAAUUACUGGGCGUAAAGCGUGCGCAGGCGGUUCGGAAAGAAGGGUGUGAAAUCCCAGGGCUCAACCUUGGAACUGCAUUCUUAACUACCGAACUAGAGUAUGUCAGAGGGGGGUAGAAUUCCGCGUGUAGCAGUGAAAUGCGUAGAUAUGCGGAGGAAUACCGAUGGCGAAGGCAGCCCCCUGGGAUAAUACUGACGCUCAUGCACGAAAGCGUGGGUAGCAAACAGGAUUAGAUUCCCUGGUAGUCCACGCCCUAAACGAUGUCAACUAGCUGUUGGGCCCUUCGGGGCUUAGUAGCGUAGCUAACGCGUGAAGUUGACCGCCUGGGGAGUACGGUCGCAAGAUUAAAACUCAAAUGAAUUGGCGGGG
rnacentral:rRNA from 1 species